rnacentral:miRNA from 1 species
UGCUGCCUUUCUGGAAGU